rnacentral:tRNA from 1 species
GGAGAGUUAGCUUAACUGGUAAAGCAUUUUCCAAAGGUUCAAGUCCUUUACUCUCCA